GAGACAGGUGCUGCAUGGCUGUCGUCAGCUCGUGUUGUGAAAUGUUGGGUAAGUCCCGCAACGAGCGCAACCCUUAUCCUUUGUUGCCAGCGGCUCGGCCGGGAACUCAAAGGAGACUGCCGGUGAUAAACCGGAGGAAGGUGGGGAUGACGUCAAGUCAUCAUGGCCCUUACGGCCAGGGCUACACACGUGCUACAAUGGCGCAUACAAAGAGAAGCGACCUCGCGAGAGCAAGCGGACCUCAUAAAGUGCGUCGUAGUCCGGAUUGGAGUCUGCAACUCGACUCCAUGAAGUCGGAAUCGCUAGUAAUCGUAGAUCAGAAUGCUACGGUGAAUACGUUCCCGGGCCUUGUACACACCGCCCGUCACACCAUGGGAGUGGGUUGCAAAAGAAGUAGGUAGCUUAACCUUCGGGAGGGCGCUUACCACUUUGUGAUUCAUGACUGGGGUGAAGUCGUAACAAGGUAGGCGUAGCGAG
rnacentral:rRNA from 1 species